GAAAGGCUUCGGCCGGACAGGGAUGGGCAUGCGGCGCAUUAGGCAGUAGGCGGGGUAACGGCCCACCUAACCGACGAUGCGUAGGGGUUCUGAGAGGAAGGUCCCCCACACUGGUACUGAGACACGGACCAGACUCCUACGGGAGGCAGCAGUGAGGAAUAUUGGUCAAUGGUCGGGAGACUGAACCAGCCAAGCCGCGUGAGGGAUGAAGGUACAGAGUAUCGUAAACCUCUUUUGUCAGGGAACAAAGGCGGGGACGUGUCCCCGGAUGAGUGUACCUGAAGAAAAAGCAUCGGCUAACUCCGUGCCAGCAGCCGCGGUAAUACGGAGGAUGCGAGCGUUAUCCGGAUUUAUUGGGUUUAAAGGGUGCGCAGGCGGUCUGUUAAGUCAGCGGUCAAAGCCCGGGGCUCAACCCCGGCCCGCCGUUGAAACUGGCAGUCUCGAGUUGGAGAGAAGUAUGCGGAAUGCGCGGUGUAGCGGUGAAAUGCAUAGAUAUCGCGCAGAACUCCGAUUGCGAAGGCAGCAUGCCGGCUCCACACUGACGCUGAGGCGCGAAAGCGUGGGUAUCGAACAGGAUUAGAUACCCUGGUAGUCCACGCAGUAAACG
rnacentral:rRNA from 1 species